rnacentral:rRNA from 1 species
UACAGAGGGUGCAAGCGUUGUUCGGAAUUAUUGGGCGUAAAGCGCGUGUAGGCGGCCUUGCAAGUUGGGUGUGAAAGCCCUCGGCUUAACCGAGGAAGUGCGCCCAAAACUACAAGGCUUGAGUGCCGGAGAGGGUGGCGGAAUUCCCGGUGUAGAGGUGAAAUUCGUAGAUAUCGGGAGGAACACCAGUGGCGAAGGCGGCCACCUGGACGGUAACUGACGCUGAGACGCGAAAGCGUGGGGAGCAAACAGG